AAGCGCCUUCAUGGCGGUGAACCGGGUGCCUGCAGGGGCGUAGCCACAAAAAUGGAAGCCCCAUAUUAUGGCCCCAUGUCCAGAGUCCACCCGAAUAAGCUUAACAACUUUGAUAGCCUACGCAGACAAAUUAGAUGUAAUCAUGAAUGCAGCCAUUGCUUCUGUAUUUUUAGGCAAGCUCCUAAAUGUGCACAUACUGUAUGUGUUUGAUGGAAUUUGACCAAUAGCAGAGAACCGGUUUUAAAAAAUGAUGAUGAUGAACAUUAUUGGGCGCUAGCUAGAUGUGCUAUAUUGACAUGUGUUUGCUGUUUGCGUGGUUGCCUAUGCAGCGUGGCAUAGCUGGCAUGGAUUUGGAGCAUACGUUGUGUACGUUGGAUACACAACUACUGUAUUAGUAAUGCUGCAACGCCACACAGCUCAUUCACCACACCCCAAAAAAGCCUGACAUUGACCAACAGCUGAUCGUUCACUUGGCAUCAGUGUGGCACAACAGUUGUCUCGGCUUCUCCUGGCCGCGUGUCAAGGUGUCCUUGUACAAGACACUGAGACCUUGUGUAGGCAUCGUCAUCCGCAUCUACAUGCAGCUGUGUGCUGACAGUGUCCUCGUGGCGAUCACUGGAGUAUAAGGAGAACUGCUUACUGGAAAACAAGAUGGUGAAGCGAUUCAUACAAAGUGCUGUCACAUUCUUAUCUCUUAUACUCAGUAUAUAUCUGAGUAAAUGUUUCUCAAAAGACAGUUCACAAAAGAAUUCAAAUUAUUGUGCAGCAGUGAACCUCAGAGUCGAUUUUAAGGCCUUACACGUCACAGGACUCAGAGGGAGGAACUGAAACGUCUACACACAGAGGUUGGAGAACGGCUGUAGUUCAGAGUAAAUGUUUGACAGACGUCACUAAAAUACCAGUUUAAGGUUUGUUUAAUGUACAUUAACAUUUAUAUCAUACAUUUGUAAAAUAGCCAGAGUUCAUUUGUAAUAUUAUAUUAAUGCAGCUGUGGCACGAUUAGAUGUUCAUCUGAUUUGCUCCAUUACAGUGGUUUCCACUUUAACCUCUUCACUGGUUUGACUGACAUGUAAUCUCUACCUGUCACAUGUGAAAAGGCUCCACAUGCAGCAUUUACCAGCAUUUGAUGGCCCUCAUUACGUUUCCCGCAAAAACAGCCACUGCCAGAUAACUGCAACCACAUGACUGCCCAUUCUCAUUAAGUCCUACUUCCAGGCUCCUGAGCAGGGGGUGUAAAAGCAUAAAAAUGUAUAAUAGAAGAAUAGGAUGCGUGUGUAAAAGUUGUGUAUAAUCAAAAUCAUAAUUUAUAAAUCUUAAAUGUUCUUUGCAGGGUGAACAUUCUGACUCUGAGAAUAGAAGAAGUAUUGAUGUUAAUAUCUCUGUGAAAUAUAAAGUAGGUAAGUAGGUACUUUGUUGCUCAGUCAUCAAUUAUUGUUAAAUAUAUUUAUUAUGGAUUUACAUUUGCAUAGAACAACCUAAUAUUGAAUAAAUCUGUCAACUGAUAAGUAUUUCUUACCAUGGUUACAAUACUUGCUCUUCAGGUGAUCUGAGUACGUCAUAAUAUUGUUGACCAGUGGUUUCCCUCGUGUUAUUCAAUCUGCCUCAGAAGAGCACACGCCAUUUUCUUGCCCUUUUGUUGUAACUAUCUGUAAAAAGCCCACACUGAAACGUAAAACGCGGCUUGCUCAGAGCUAAAGCCUUUAUUGUCUGGAUUAAUAACCCCGUAUUCAGAGGUAAUGGCUCACAGGAAGAACUGUUCUUUUCCUCUGAGAUCAGUAGGAACGCCUGAGGAGAAGCUCGCUCGUAAACUAUGAGGAAUAAAUUGCUCAAUAACUGGCUCCAAACCAGCAUUCUAUGUAAAACGCACUCCUCGUGAGUGAAAUGUCAGUUAAUUACAGUUAUGCAUAGAGCACAAUCUCCACAAAGGAAGACUGGGAAUCAAUAAAGCACACGGGACAGAAGGCUGUUAUUGCUGUUUACUUAGAGAUUCUACAGGUCGCUGCAUCCGGAGACAAGUGGCGUGACGUUUACCUCCAAUCAGGAGAAUGUCCUUCAUUUGAUUUGACUAAUCUGGGACAGACGCGGAGCAUCUGUGAAUCAGGAACCCGGCUAUUGAUCCAUAAACAUCACCCAAUUAAACAACCUGGGAGCCUCGGGCCAACAUUUAGUCUGUGUCUCCAAUGACCCCAUUUUGAGUUUCUCUGAAGAAACACAGAUUUACAUGAGAAUCUGUGUGUAAACAGGACCGGUAGCAGAGACGACCUCAGAGACAAGAUAUGAUUUGUGAAGUUUUUUUAGUGAUUCACAAGUUGUGUUAUAUGGAAUAUUAUUGACCUCAGGAUCACAUACUUACCAUUAACUCAAAUUUUAUGUUGUACUAUUUGUUGUGAAUAAGACUAAUUCAUGAACACGUUUUCCUACAAGCACAACACCUUCCUCAGGCACGGAGGCAUUUAUCUCCCCUGCACGCUGUCUGUGUGCUGCAGCGCUCCUUGUUCUUCUGCUUUCUUUUUCUGUGUGGGCAGUUUAUUGAUUUCUCUCUGUAGGCGAUGGAGAAAAUUCCUAUUGUGAGAUCAAAAUAAACUGAUGAAUUAUAAAAAGGGAAAAGUGGGCCGUGCUGCUCCUGCUGCUGCCUUUCAAGCUCAGCCAGCUUGGCAGGUAUGGCGCUCAGUGUCAGUUCGGAUCUGGCUGAGUGCGUAACAUGCCACCCUCAUUCUAAUGAAGGUCUUUUGGAUUACCCUCCACAGUCAUUAGAUCAGCAUAAUAAAGGGAC